ACACAUGCAAGUCGAGCGGAGAUGAGGUGCUUGCACCUUAUCUUAGCGGCGGACGGGUGAGUAAUGCUUAGGAAUCUGCCUAUUAGUGGGGGACAACAUUCCGAAAGGAAUGCUAAUACCGCAUACGUCCUACGGGAGAAAGCAGGGGAUCUUCGGACCUUGCGCUAAUAGAUGAGCCUAAGUCGGAUUAGCUAGUUGGUGGGGUAAAGGCCUACCAAGGCGACGAUCUGUAGCGGGUCUGAGAGGAUGAUCCGCCACACUGGGACUGAGACACGGCCCAGACUCCUACGGGAGGCAGCAGUGGGGAAUAUUGGACAAUGGGGGGAACCCUGAUCCAGCCAUGCCGCGUGUGUGAAGAAGGCCUUAUGGUUGUAAAGCACUUUAAGCGGGGAGGAGGCUACUGAGACUAAUACUCUUGGAUAGUGGACGUUACUCGCAGAAUAAGCACCGGCUAACUCUGUGCCAGCAGCCGCGGUAAUACAGAGGGUGCGAGCGUUAAUCGGAUUUACUGGGCGUAAAGCGUGCGUAGGCGGCUUUUUAAGUCGGAUGUGAAAUCCCCGAGCUUAACUUGGGAAUUGCAUUCGAUACUGGGAAGCUAGAGUAUGGGAGAGGAUGGUAGAAUUCCAGGUGUAGCGGUGAAAUGCGUAGAGAUCUGGAGGAAUACCGAUGGCGAAGGCAGCCAUCUGGCCUAAUACUGACGCUGAGGUACGAAAGCAUGGGGAGCAAACAGGAUUAGAUACCCUGGUAGUCCAUGCCGUAAACGAUGUCUACUAGCCGUUGGGGCCUUUGAGGCUUUAGUGGCGCAGCUAACGCGAUAAGUAGACCGCCUGGGGAGUACGGUCGCAAGACUAAAACUCAAAUGAAUUGA
rnacentral:rRNA from 1 species